rnacentral:rRNA from 1 species
AUUGAACGCUGGCGGCAUGCCUUACACAUGCAAGUCGAACGGUAACGGGCCUUCGGGUGCCGACGAGUGGCGAACGGGUGAGUAAUACAUCGGAACGUGCCCGAUCGUGGGGGAAAACGAGGCGAAAGCUUUGCUAAUACCGCAUACGAUCUACGGUUGAAAGCAGGGGACCGUAAGGCCUUGCGCGGACGGGGCGGCCGAUGGCAGAUUAGGUAGUUGGUGGGAUAAAAGCUUACCAAGCCGACGAUCUGUAGCUGGUCUGAGAGGAUGAUCAGCCACACUGGGACUGAGACACGGCCCAGACUCCUACGGGAGGCAGCAGUGGGGAAUUUUGGACAAUGGGCGCAAGCCUGAUCCAGCCAUGCCGCGUGCAGGAUGAAGGCCUUCGGGUUGUAAACUGCUUUUGUACGGAACGAAAAGCCUUCUUUUAAUACAGGAGGGUCAUGACGGUACCGUAAGAAUAAGCACCGGCUAACUACGUG